rnacentral:rRNA from 1 species
UACGUAGGGUGCAAGCGUUGUCCGGAAUUACUGGGCGUAAAGCGUGCGUAGUCGGUAUUGAGAGUCGCGGGUGAAAUCCCAGGGCUUAACCCUGGAACUGCCUGCGAGACCUCAGUACUAGAGUGUGAGAGGGGAUAGUGGAAUACCCAGUGUAGCGGUGAAAUGCGUAGAGAUUGGGUGGAACACCGGUGGCGAAGGCGGCUAUCUGGCUCACAACUGACGAUCAGGGCACAAAAGCGUGGGGGAG